UCAAGGUUAAACACUGAUAAACAGAUACAAAAUGUCAGCCCUUCCUAUCUAACCCAUCUUCCCAACAAAACUACUAAUAACCAGUAUGAAAAUCAACAAAAUGCAAAUCAUACAAGCAGCUACAAGAAUCUUAAGAUUCUCAAUCACAAUAUUUAGCAUGGUUCCGAGAACAGGACUGGUCAGUUUGACUGGUUUAACCGUAAACCGGAAUAUAGUCUGGUUUAACACAGUAAGAUUAUCGUUUAAAUGGUAAAAAUUCUUUGAAUCAUCAUAAAUAAAAAUGGGUUUUGGAAGAUUUAGGGAUUUUCUUUUGGAGUGGUUUAGAGAAUAAAUUGGAACCUAUGCCUGCCACCUGAGAAUAAACAGGCAUGUCUUGUUCUAACUCUUUGUUGUCGAAAUGCAAGGAGUAUUGGUCUUCUAAAAAGAUAUAGAGGCGAUGGAGAAGGAACUGUAAGCGUUGUGAUUAGCCGAGAAAAAAAAUAGUAGAGGUUCUUU
rnacentral:lncRNA from 1 species